rnacentral:rRNA from 1 species
AUUGAUCAAGAGCGAAAGUUAAGGGUUCGAAGACGAUCGGGCAUCUGGUCGUCUAAAGUGGCCGUAACAAAGUCACUAGUCCGAGGAUUUCCCGUAUCAACUGUUUACUAGUCCGACAGGCGAUACGGGAGAUCCGAGGGCGACACUAUCCAAUUGCGGGGACAUCCUAAAGGCUAUCCAACCAACCACGCGCCGAAAGGCGGAAAAGUUACGGGCAUCGAUCCCUUCACGGGGGGAGCUACGUACGUGGGGCCAGGCUAAUCACCUGGGUACGGUAAAAUCGGGUAGUAUGACGAGACCCUCCGGGGUCUCUGAAAUGGACAAUCCGCAGCCAAGUCCGCUAGUCUCAGGUGUGGUCUGGAAGCUAACCAUAGGCGUGUAGUCCCCUUUGUGGGCCGGCGUGUGAGUGUAUAGGCUUCCGGGAUACCCCGGGAUGGGAUGCAGUUCACAGACUAAAUGGUAGUGGGUGAUAUCCCGGGAAUUCCCCGGGAUAUUGCUUAAGAUAUAGUCGAGCCCCCGGUGAAAGCCGGGGGAACCCCCCAAUGCAGAUACCGUCGUAGUCUUAACUAUAAAUGAUACUGACCAGAGAUAGGAUUCUGUCCAUCUCGACUUCUCCUGGAUCUUCGAGAAAUUACAGUCUUUGAGUUCUGGGGGGAGUAUGGUCGCAAGGCUGAAACUUAGGCUUAGGUUUUAAAAGUGGUCCGGAAAACGGUACUGCUAGUCCGGUGAAUCCCCGUAUUAACUUUUUUUGGACCCAGCUAGUCUAGAAAAAGUGCACGGGGGUUCACUACCCGGUGAAUCGACACUGGUUACUCAGGGCAACACUGUCAAAUUGUCUGGGAGUCCCUAAAGAUCUCGCUACCAACUGCGCGCCGAAAGGCGGAAAAAUCAGGAAGCAUUGACCCCCUUACGGGGCGAGCUGCUUGCGCAGGGCCGAGGGUAAUGACCUCGGGUACGGUAAAAACGCGGGAUAUGAAGGAUUGGGGAGUAGCUACCUCGAUCCGGAAGUGGGUAACCAGCAGCCAAGUCCGUACGCUGUCAUCCCGGGGUUUUCCCGGGAUAAAACAGUAGGAUGCAGUUCACAGGCCAAACGGCAGUGGGCUUCUUCCCCGUGUCCCACCUGGUUUAGCGGCCAGGCCCAGGGAUACGGGGGGAGGCAUAAGAUAUGGUCGGCUCCCCUGGGAAACCAGGGGGAACAAGCGUAAAGGAAUUGACGGAAGGGCACACAAAGAGUGGAACCUGCGGCUUACAUGGGCCGUAAGAGUACGUGGGGCUCGUUAGGAUCAGGAUAGCGCUAUUACCGGGAAGGGGGGACCCCCCGGGAAUGUGCUCGACGGAUUAGUACUGGAUAGGGAGACCUUCCGGGAAUUCCCCGUAUGUGCGGUUAUUAUCGAGGGGGGGGGACCCCCCCGAAAAUCCCGUAUCCUAGAACCGAAAGGCUUUGCGAUGCUAGUCGACCCCCCACAGAGGCUGAGAGGGGGGCGGCGAGACAACCUGGUACGGGAAAUCCCCCUAAUAUAACUGGGGGCAAUUCCGUGGCGAGCUACCGGCGAGUAAUCGUUGGAUAGCCGUCGUAACGCGCGGUAAGGUGUCGGGUGUCCCGGGAUUUCUCGGGAUAUCUUAAGGUACGUGCUACUCCCCCCGUAAGGGUGUCCGGUUCUGGAGCUCUCAGCCAGCAAAAGACCGGAGCGUUAUGAUCCCGGGCCCGAAAUGCCCGGGGGAGCGUGGUUCAAAAGGUAAUUUGACUCAACACGGGAAAACUCACCAGGUCCGGAUACACGUAUGA